CUUCUUUUCGUUUGUUCCGCGCGCAAAAUACUCUGCUCCCCUCCACUUCCCCUACCCUACACUACAGAAAAAAUACUCUCGCCGCCAAGCAAACGAAAACAACGAUGAGGAUUUCAUAGAAGACCUGCGCAUGGAUGCAGGUGGAUCCGAAGGCGAAAACAAGGAAGCGUUUAAUGGCAACAGUUUGGAUGUGUUGAAGUCGACGCAUUCGUGGAGGGUAUUGGAGGAGCACGAAGGGAUAGAGGAAUAUGGGUUUGAAAAUGAGAAGAGAGUGAGAUUCGUGGAGGCAAUUGUGAAAUUUGUAUUCAAUCACUCAAUAUUUCAACCCUUGCGUUCUUCACCAUGAAAACAAGGUGGAACUUGAAAGAAGUUAAAAUAGGAUGCUCGAUUUCGUUUCAGACUUCAAUCCUUGUCCGCAGACAAAUGGCUAAUUGAAAAGGGGCAACUGGAACUUGUUGGUGCUGGAUCUUUGACAAGAGACCUACUAGAAACACACAUUAAUGCAACAUACUGUUCAAGUAUCAUUUUCUAGCCUCCUUCACUUGGUUCUAUUAUGGCAUGACAGCUCUAGGGCUUCCACCCAUGCAUCACAGUCUCCUUCUGAUGCUCGCGAAUCUUGUGUCAUUGACCACACUUGUGGCAACUGUAAGUCAACGAGGACGAGCUUCAAUAGACUCAUAUGAAGCUUCUCACUCAGGUGGACAAAUACCUUGUGUUCUUAGAGUUCUCUUAUGUCGUUCCCUUAACUCUGUGUAGUAGUGCUUUUACAUUUUUAACGCAACCACUAUGGUAGCCAAUUCAAAUUCGUGAGUCAUUGUCUAAGUUCAACUCUUUUCAUAGUAUGAGACGUAGGAAACAACUUACUACAUCGUGAAUAUACAACGGGUUAGUUGUGACAUCGCCAUUCACAACAUCCUACAUUAUGUCGAACCUACUUGUCUUUCCAUUAGGACCUAUCUUCUAUGCUUCUCGAGAUUUGUAUCCUCUUAUAGUACCCCCACUUAGGCACUACUAUAGAAAAUCUACUCAUGUACCAUAUCCCUCUCAGGUACUGUUGGGGAUCACCUACUUUGUCUCAACACCCCUCUUAGGUGAUACUUAAAGUUCAUCACGACAUCCUAUUUUUGCUCCGUCGUGAAAUAGUAAGGGUGCUCCCUCGUGGUUAGCAUCAAUGCCCCAUGGGUGGCAAGACAUUUGCUUACACCUCAACAUUUCCUAUGGUGUGUUUACUAUUCUAGUUCUUUUCCUGGAAUCGACCAAAGUCUUACUAGCAUCCGUACCCACUACAACAUCAAAACGUCAAACUCCACAUCUCAUGAGUAUCUUAAGCUAAUCGUGUGAAGUCCCUUGAGGAUUUACCACUUUUGCCUAAGCAACCCUAGUCAUUUGGAAUAGCUUAUGGCAAUAUCCUACUUAAUGUUCCUCCACGUACUAAAGGCCUUUCGGCCUUUCGGCCUUUCGAUCUUCAGGGAAAUUAUCUUUCUAAUGUCAUGAGGGAGUGAAAGAUAAUUUGCACCUACCCUAGAAAUUUAGUGAAAUUGUUUAUUGUUUCAGAAACUAGACACAAUUUGCAGCCUACCUUAGAAACUUAGAAGGAAAACAACUUUGGGAAGGUUGAGGAACAGGAGCUCAAACACGCACGAGCAAAUGAGCAAUAGAGCACGGGUCAUUGUGGGGGUGUGCUGGGUCGUGGGUCGUGUGGCUGUGGAGGCAACCUUGUUGACUAUAAUUUUUUUAAUCUUUUGUUUAUUUGUACAUGAUUUUUGUAAUUCUUCCAUUGCAAGUGAUCUUUGUAUUUUAAAUAGCGCAGGAGCGAAUGUAUGCAUUUAAAUUGUGUUAUUUUAAUGUGUGUAUUUAUUUGCUUGAUUUCUUUCAUUUUAAAAGCGAAAAAAUAUAUCGCUUUUUUAUAACAUA